rnacentral:rRNA from 1 species
CGAAUGCUGACAUAAGUAACGAUAAAGCGGGUGAAAAGCCCGCUCGCCGGAAGACCAAGGGUUCCUGUCCAACGUUAAUCGGGGCAGGGUGAGUCGACCCCUAAGGCGAGGCCGAAAGGCGUAGUCGAUGGGAAACAGGUUAAUAUUCCUGUACUUGGUGUUACUGCGAAGGGGGGACGGAGAAGGCUAUGUUGGCCGGGCGACGGUUGUCCCGGUUUAAGCGUGUAGGCUGGUUUUCCAGGCAAAUCCGGAAAAUCAAGGCUGAGGCGUGAUGACGAGGCACUACGGUGCUGAAGCAACAAAUGCCCUGCUUCCAGGAAAAGCCUCUAAGCAUCAGGUAACAUCAAAUCGUACCCCAAACCGACACAGGUGGUCAGGUAGAGAAUACCAAGGCGCUUGAGAGAACUCGGGUGAAGGAACUAGGCAAAAUGGUGCCGUAACUUCGGGAGAAGGCACGCUGAUAUGUAGGUGAAGUCCCUCGCGGAUGGAGCUGAAAUCAGUCGAAGAUACCAGCUGGCUGCAACUGUUUAUUAAAAACACAGCACUGUGCAAACACGAAAGUGGACGUAUACGGUGUGACGCCUGCCCGGUGCCGGAAGGUUAAUUGAUGGGGUCAGCGCAAGCGAAGCUCUUGAUCGAAGCCCCGGUAAACGGCGGCCGUAACUAUAACGGUCCUAAGGUAGCGAAAUUCCUUGUCGGGUAAGUUCCGACCUGCACGAAUGGCGUAAUGAUGGCCAGGCUGUCUCCACCCGAGACUCAGUGAAAUUGAACUCGCUGUGAAGAUGCAGUGUACCCGCGGCAAGACGGAAAGACCCCGUGAACCUUUACUAUAGCUUGACACUGAACAUUGAGCCUUGAUGUGUAGGAUAGGUGGGAGGCUUUGAAGUGUGGACGCCAGUCUGCAUGGAGCCGACCUUGAAAUACCACCCUUUAAUGUUUGAUGUUCUAACGUUGACUCGUGAUCCGGGUUGCGGACAGUGUCUGGUGGGUAGUUUGACUGGGGCGGUCUCCUCCUAAAGAGUAACGGAGGAGCACGAAGGUUGGCUAAUCCUGGUCGGACAUCAGGAGGUUAGUGCAAUGGCAUAAGCCAGCUUGACUGCGAGCGUGACGGCGCGAGCAGGUGCGAAAGCAGGUCAUAGUGAUCCGGUGGUUCUGAAUGGAAGGGCCAUCGCUCAACGGAUAAAAGGUACUCCGGGGAUAACAGGCUGAUACCGCCCAAGAGUUCAUAUCGACGGCGGUGUUUGGCACCUCGAUGUCGGCUCAUCACAUCCUGGGGCUGAAGUAGGUCCCAAGGGUAUGGCUGUUCGCCAUUUAAAGUGGUACGCGAGCUGGGUUUAGAACGUCGUGAGACAGUUCGGUCCCUAUCUGCCGUGGGCGCUGGAGAACUGAGGGGGGCUGCUCCUAGUACGAGAGGACCGGAGUGGACGCAUCACUGGUGUUCGGGUUGUCAUGCCAAUGGCACUGCCCGGUAGCUAAAUGCGGAAGAGAUAAGUGCUGAAAGCAUCUAAGCACGAAACUUGCC